rnacentral:lncRNA from 10 species
GCAGGAUAGGGAGAGGAGGCAGCACAGCCGGAAGGCGGGGGAGCCAGCUCCUUCCCCAGUGCGCCCAACCCCCAGAUGCCCACAAACAGGAAACCAACUUGCUGGCCCAGUUCUGCUUGGGAAGAUCAGGGUUUGCAACCCCCAAAGCCACCUGGUUAGGGACAGAGGGCUAUUUCUCCUCUCUGAGCCUCAGUUUCUUCACCUGUGAAAGGAACAGAGGCAAAACAUGACUUCUAGGGAAGAACUGCUGCUGCUGUGAUGUGCAGUAAUUUAUUCAUUCAGUCAACCCCUAUUUACUGAGCAGCUAUUAUGUGGCAGGUACAGUUCUAGGUGCUGGGGAUAUAUCACUCCUUUAAUCAUCUUCUCCACUAGACUGGAGGCAUCAUGAAGGAAAGGAUGCUGAUCGACCCAGUGUCAAGCACCCCCGCCAAUCCCCAGCAAACAACUAUGGCCAG